rnacentral:rRNA from 1 species
UACGUAGGGACCAAGCGUUGUUCGGAAUUACUGGGCGUAAAGCGCACGUAGGCGGACGUGUCAGUCAGGGGUGAAAUCCCGGAGCUCAACUUCGGAACUGCCUUUGAUACAGCACGUCUUGAGUCCGGAAGAGGUGGGUGGAAUUCCUAGUGUAGAGGUGAAAUUCGUAGAUAUUAGGAAGAACACCGGUGGCGAAGGCGGCCCACUGGUCCGGUACUGACGCUGAGGUGCGAAAGCGUGGGGAGCAAACAGG